GGCGGACGUAGCCAAGUGGAUCAAGGCAAUGGAU
rnacentral:tRNA from 1 species